AACGAACGCUGGCGGCAGGCUUAACACAUGCAAGUCGAACGCAUCGCAAGAUGAGUGGCAGACGGGUGAGUAACGCGUGGGAAUCUACCGUGCCCUGCGGUAUAGCUCCGGGAAACUGGAAUUAAUACCGCAUACGCCCUACGGGGGAAAGAUUUAUCGGGGUAUGAUGAGCCCGCGUUGGAUUAGCUAGUUGGUGGGGUAAAGGCCUACCAAGGCGACGAUCCAUAGCUGGUCUGAGAGGAUGAUCAGCCACAUUGGGACUGAGACACGGCCCAAACUCCUACGGGAGGCAGCAGUGGGGAGUAUUGGACAAUGGGCGCAAGCCUGAUCCAGCCAUGCCGCGUGAGUGAUGAAGGCCCUAGGGUUGUAAAGCUCUUUCACCGGUGAAGAUAAUGACGGUAACCGGAGAAGAAGCCCCGGCUAACUUCGUGCCAGCCGCCGCAGUAA
rnacentral:rRNA from 1 species